rnacentral:tRNA from 1 species
GCGGGUGUCGUAUAAUGGCUAUUAUUCUAGUCUUCCAAACUAGCGAUAUGGGUUCGAUCCCCAUUACCCGCU